AAAAUUUGAUGAACCUGGUGAUUGAUGUAUCACUCCAAUUGAAAUUAAACUUUCUGGAUCUCAUAGAAAGUUGUUUAUGAGGUUCAACACGAACAGGGCGAUGCCAUGUUCCUUGUUUAUCUAGUUUAGAACACUUACGGAUUUCCAAUGGAAAAUCGGUAUUGUUGUUGAUAACUGUUGUAAGUAUAGCGCCCAUGUUGUGAUGUGCAGUGAAGGUUUUUCUUCUUUUUCUGUUUCGAAAGAAAAGUUAAGGUUUUGCAAAAAAUCAAAACAAGUUAGUAAAUGAGAAAGAGAAUCAAGUGUUGAAAUAGAAAUGAAAUGAGAGAUGAGAUCACGAGACACAGAGUUGGGUCCUACGGUUUUAUUGUUAUAUGCAUUGUCGCUCUUAUUUUAUUCCACAUCAGAGACAGUAUAUAUUUUACAUUAUUAUAAUAGUAGCACGCACAGCCAAAAACAUACUACUACUACCUACAUAACACAACGGUUACGGUUAUAAUAUGGGUCAAGUUAACUUGUGUCCUAAGGGUAUAUGUUAAGAUAUUUAAAAAUAGAAAUAUGACAUUUAAUGAUACAAAUAAUUUAAUGUUUAGAUAAUUGAAUAUACCACAAGUUCAAUAAAUUUUUUUCACAUUUAUCUUCUUAAUAUGUGCCUUUAAAAAUAUAAGUUAACAUUCUCCUUAUAAUAUUACAUGCUCUGCUCCCAUGCUUCCAUGUGAUGAUGUCUUGGUCAAAGGAGUAUUUAAAAUUGAACCACUAAUGUUAAAUUUUGUCGUUUUGACCACCCUACUUUUAGAUUAUGCUUCCAUGUGGUUCUUCUUUUUU
rnacentral:lncRNA from 1 species